rnacentral:rRNA from 1 species
UACGGAGGGGGCUAGCGUUGUUCGGAAUUACUGGGCGUAGAGCGCACGUAGGCGGAUGCUUAAGUCAGGGGUGAAAUCCCGGGGCUCAACCCCGGAACUGCCUUUGAUACAGCACGUCUUGAGUCCGAUAGAGGUGGGUGGAAUUCCUAGUGUAGAGGUGAAAUUCGUAGAUAUUAGGAAGAACACCGGUGGCGAAGGCGGCCCACUGGAUCGGUACUGACGCUGAGGUGCGAAAGCGUGGGGAGCAAACAGG